rnacentral:rRNA from 1 species
GAUGAACGCUAGCGGCAGGCUUAAUACAUGCAAGUCGAGGGGCAGCAUGUCCCGCAGCAAUGCGGGAUGAUGGCGACCGGCAAACGGGUGCGGAACACGUACAGAACCUUCCUUCGAGCGGGGAAUAGCCCAGAGAAAUUUGGAUUAAUACCCCAUAGUAAAUUGAAAAGGCAUCUUUUUAAUUUUAAAGAUUUAUCACUUGAAGAUGGCUGUGCGGCGGAUUAGGUAGUUGGCGGGGUAACGGCCCACCAAGCCUGCGAUCAGUAACUGGUGUGAGAGCACGACCAGUCACACGGGCACUGAGACACGGGCCCGACUCCUACGGGAGGCAGCAGUAAGGAAUAUUGGGCAAUGGACGCAAGUCUGACCCAGCCAUGCCGCGUGGAGGAUGAAGGUCCUCUGGAUUGUAAACUUCUUUUAUAUGGGACGAAAAAAGGGCUUUCUAGCUCACUUGACGGUACCAUAUGAAUAAGCACCGGCUAACUCCGUGCCAGCCGCCGCCGUAACAC